CCUAGCUAUAAACUUUGACAUAUCCGCCAGAGUACUACGAGCAACAGCUUAAAACUCAAAGGACUUGGCGGUGCUCUACACCCACCUAGAGGAGCCUGUUCUAUAAUUGAUAACCCCCAAUAAACCUCACCACCAAUUGCAAUUCAGCCUAUAUACCGCCGCCGUCAGCUUACCCUUUAAAGGCAAAUAAGUAAGCAAAAUGAUAAACAUAAAAACGUCAGGUCAAGGUGUAGCAUAUAUGAUGGGAAGAAAUGGGCUACAUUUUCUUUAAGAAAAAACGAAAAACUAAAUGAAAUAAAAGUUAGAAGGAGGAUUUAGCAGUAAAAA
rnacentral:rRNA from 1 species